UCACCGGGUGGAAAUUUGGCACA
rnacentral:miRNA from 1 species